rnacentral:tRNA from 1 species
GGGGAUGUGGCUCAGUGGGAGGGCGCUUGUCUGACAUGCAUGAGGCCCUGGGUUCAAUUCCCCAGUACCA